GGAACUCCUGGGCUCAAAUGAUCCUUCUGCAUCAGCCUCCUGAGUGGCUGGGAUUACAGGUGUGCGCCACCACCAGGGUGAUAUGUUAACAGGAUACAGGAAAAAGGCUUCACUGUGCAAGACCUCUAAAUACCAAAAAAGAGUCGAAACCAUGGAAUCUAUUUCAAUGCAUGAGAGCUCCUGUCGCUCCACAUCCUCAGCAGCACGUGGUGUUCGGUGUUCUGGAUUUUAGACAUUCUAAUAGGACUCAUUAGUUCUAACAGAUUUGUUUGUCAAUUCCUCAAGAUUUUCUACAUCUAAAAUCAUGUCAUCUGCAAAAAGAGGUAAG